rnacentral:rRNA from 1 species
GACGAACCGUGCGAACGUUGUUCGGAAUCACUGGGCUUAAAGGGCGCGUAGGCGGCUUGCCAAGUCGGGGGUGAAAUCCGGCAGCUUAACUGUCGAAGUGCCUUCGAUACUGGCGAGCUAGAGGGAGGUAGGGGUCUGUGGAACUUCUGGUGGAGCGGUGAAAUGCGUUGAUAUCGUAAGGAAGACCAGUGGCGAAGGCGGGUCGCUGGACAGUUCCUGGACGCUGAGGCACGAAGGUCAGGGGAGCAAACGGG